AUUGAACGCUAGCGGCAUGCUUUACACAUGCAAGUCGACCGAGUGGCGGACGGGUGAGUAAUAUAUCGGCACGUGCCCAGUAGCGGGGGAUAACUACUCUAACGCGUUGCUAAUACCGCAUACUAUUGAAACGGCCCAUAUGGGAUUAGCUAGUUGUGGGGGUAAAGGCUCACCAAGGCAACGAUCCGUAGCUGGUUUGAGAGGACUACCAGCCACACUGGGACUGAGACACGGCCCAGACUCCUACGGGAGGCAGCAGUGGGGAAUUUUGGACAAUGGGGGAAAGCCUGAUCCAGCCAUCCCGCGUGUAUGAGAAGGCCUUCGGGUUGUAAAGUACUUUUGGCAGAGAAGCGGUAUCUGCAGAAUAAGCACCGGCUAACUACGUGCCAGCAGCCGCGGUAAUUC
rnacentral:rRNA from 1 species